UCAGGGGAGCACUGUCCUAAAAUGCAAGACAAGAAAUGCAAGACAUUUUUAACCACUUCAGCUGAGCCACUGGAAACCUCUGCAAAGCUGGAAACAAUAAUGGCUUGAAGAAAAAAUUCAGUUAUGCUUCCAAGGAGCUAAUAUAAAAAAAUUAAAGAGCAAUUAGAAGA